GACGAACGCUGGCGGCGUGCCUAAUACAUGCAAGUAGAACGCUGAAGGAGGAGCUUGCUUCUCUGGAUGAGUUGCGAACGGGUGAGUAACGCGUAGGUAACCUGCCUGGUAGCGGGGGAUAACUAUUGGAAACGAUAGCUAAUACCGCAUAAUAGUAGAUGUUGCAUGACAUUUGCUUAAAAGGUGCAAUUGCAUCACUACCAGAUGGACCUGCGUUGUAUUAGCUAGUUGGUGAGGUAACGGCUCACCAAGGCAACGAUACAUAGCCGACCUGAGGGGGGGAUCGGCCACACUGGGACUGAGACACGGCCCAGACUCCUACGGGAGGCAGCAGUAGGGAAUCUUCGGCAAUGGACGGAAGUCUGACCGAGCAACGCCGCGUGAGUGAAGAAGGUUUUCGGAUCGUAAAGCUCUGUUGUAAGAGAAGAACGAGUGUGAGAGUGGAAAGUUCACACUGUGACGGUAUCUUACCAGAAAGGGACGGCUAACUACGUG
rnacentral:rRNA from 1 species